ensembl:lncRNA
CAGGCAGUAUUGGUUACAUUCAGGUUACAUUCAGUAUGCAGCUCCUGUCUUGUAUUAUCUUCAUGAUUAUUAUUACACUGACCUUCUGCAUCUGUUUCCUGACUCCCUGCGCUACAGAAUACUGCCUCAGCAAAAGAUAAGGACAUCUCCCAGCCAGUCGAUGAACAAGGACACCUAAUCCGCCAACACCACAUCCACCACUGUCUCGACACCACCCAAGAGGAUUCACCUCCAACCAGCAGAGGGCCUUCUACCACAAGCCGUCCCAGCAAGCCAGUCCCCCAGACUACCCAGCAGGCCGCUCAGGUCAGUGAUUCCAUGGCUUCCUACUACAGUGCUCCCUCUAUUUCGCUCAUCAGAUGGCAGCCCCCACCACCGCGACGUCCAAGGUUGCCACGGUCAUUUCCCUACUGACCAGGCGGGCGCUGGAGUGGACUACGGCUGCCUGGGAGAGAGGAGAGGAAGAUCUGGGUUCUUACGAGGGGUUCAUAGCUAUAUUCAGGGUGUUUUUUGACCAUCCACCAGAGGGCAGAGCGGAAGGUGAGAAACCAUUCCAACUCCGGCAGGGUGCCCAGACCGCUGCAGAGUACACCCUCACCUUCCGGACCGUGGCAGCCUCCAACGGAUGGAAUGAAUAGGGUGUACUCCACACCCUAUUCUGAAGAGGACUGCACGAGGAGGUCCAGACAUAGUUGGCGUGAGACACCUGGGGCUGUGUCCCUAUUGAGACCAGGAGGGGCACUGGCUCCAGCAGUGUCCGGUGCGUCCCAACCCGGAGUCCACUGGGACAGAGGGACUUCCCCGUGAUCAUUCAUCUCCCAGGGUCGGUGUGUUGUCUCUAAAGCUCUAGUGGACUCUGGUGUCGCUGGGAAUUUUAUCAACCAGGCCCUCAUCUCCUUCCUGAACAUCACCGCGUACCUGCUCUCCUCUCCUUUUCCGGCCCAAGCCCUUGAUAAACAACCAUUGGAAUCCGGCACUAUCACGCACAUCACAGCACCACUCACCCUUACCGUGGGACACUUGCACCAAGAAAGCCUUCCAUUCCUCAUCCUCGGCCUUCCGUGGCUCCAACGUCAUGACCCCACCAUCUCCUGGUCGAGGAUGAAAAUCACUGCCUGGGCACCUGAAUGUCCCUUACCUUGCGGUUCCACAUCGAUUGAGAGCCAUGUGAGUGACCUCCAGCCCAUCAAUCUGUUCUCCCAUAUUGUUGGCCCUGUGUUUUGGGACAUAGAUGUGGACAUCCACCAGGCUCUGGAGAGUGAACCUGCGCCUGCUACCUGCCCUCCUGAGCACAUCUACGUCCCCACGGAGAGGAAUCUACAGGACGAAGCAGGUCUGGCUGGAAACAUUGAGGACUCAUACAAGAAACUAAACCAAGGGACCUGAAGAAUUGUCAAUACUGUGGACAGAGAAGAAUUUAUGCAGCAACAUUUGGCUUCAAUUGAAUGACGAGAUUUAUACGUUUACAUGUUGAAAUGGUAUGUUUUAGUUUGUGUUUUUUGUGUGGGACAUUUAGACACCACUUUUUGACAGAUAAUGAAUGCAAUGUACAUCCUCACCAGACAUUCCUGCCGGAUCAAGCCACGCUCCCUCCCUAUGUAGCUAAAUGGUCUCUUUCCAAAUUAACUCCACAGGAAGAUGGUGUCACUGUAGAUAUCUAAAAUACUCUAUUGUUUGCUUACGUCUGAGGUGGUAAAGGUGCUCAUAUCACUGAAAGUGUUACAUUGAAAUUCAUUGCUGAGAAUGUCCAAAUCCAACAGAGUAUAUUAAUUUAAUUUCACCGUUGCUUUCACUGUAAAUGUCCAUUAAUAUGUUAUUAACACUUUUAUUUGCAUUUAUUUGCACCAAAGAAAACAAUUGCUAGACAACAGUACAGAUAUCUUUUUUUUCUUAAACAAUGUGCAGGUGUGUUUGGAAGCCCAAGGGCUUACAUGAAAAACACGCCACAAAAAAAACCAAUAUAUAAUACAUCAGUACAAAAUAAAAAAAGGUUUGUUAAAACAUAACGAAAUUUACUAAUUAUACAUGUAUAAAUGAAUUGAACUGUAAUAUUUGUUUUGUUUAAAUGUGCGUGCCUGUGAGUGCUAGGCUAUAUGGAGAAGAUUACUGAGGAGUUUGGUUCAUCAGGCUGACCCCCAGUCUUCACUUGUAGUUAUUGAGGGAUAAUGAUGUUUUGGCAAUGUGAAGAUAAGAAUUCCAGAGUAUGGUACCUCUAUAUCUGAUAGUCAGUUCUCUAUGUGAGGUUCGGCAGUUGGGAGGGUGAAGGUUAUCACAGUGUCUUGUAUUAUCUACACUGAAAAACCCAACAAGUUCUGUGAACUCAUUUUUUUGGGGGGGAAAACGAUCACCUAAAAGAAACAUCUGUUAAACUCAAAAGUUAAAAGUAAGGUCACACCUAAUUAUUUUUGAAUUACUUGUAGUUAACCUAAUGGUUUCAUGCAAACUCUUUUUAACUGUACUUAACUUUAAAAGAUUGUUUAAUUAAUUGAAAACAUUCAAUUGCUGCAUAUUUAAUUGCUAUGCUUUCUCUGUAGCG